ACGAACGCUGGCGGCGUGCUUAACGCAUGCAAGUCGAACGAGGUCCAUGCAGUGGCAACACUGCGGAAGACCUAGUGGCGAACGGGUGAGUAACACGUGAGGAACCCACCCCGGAGACCGGGAUAAGCCCUCGAAAGGGGGUCUAAUACCGGAUGCCCUCACCGGAUCGCAUGGUCCGAUGAGGAAAUGGAUUCCGCUCCGGGACGGCCUCGCGGCCUAUCAGCUUGUUGGUGGGGUAACGGCCCACCAAGGCAUAGACGGGUAGCUGGUCUGAGAGGACGGUCAGCCACACUGGGACUGAGACACGGCCCAGACUCCUACGGGAGGCAGCAGCGGGGAAUAUUGCGCAAUGGGCGAAAGCCUGACGCAGCAACGCCGCGUGAGGGAUGAAGGCUCUCGGGUUGUAAACCUCUUUCAGCAGGGACGAAAACAGACGGUACCUGCAGAAGAAGCCCCGGCCAACUACGU
rnacentral:rRNA from 1 species